GACGAACGCUGGCGGCGUGCUUAACACAUGCAAGUCGAACGGAAAGGCCCUGCUUUUGUGGGGUGCUCGAGUGGCGAACGGGUGAGUAACACGUGAGUAACCUGCCCUUGACUUUGGGAUAACUUCAGGAAACUGGGGCUAAUACCGGAUAGGAUCUCCUGCUGCAUGGUGGGGGUUGGAAAGUUUCGGCGGUUGGGGAUGGACUCGCGGCUUAUCAGCUUGUUGGUGGGGUAGUGGCUUACCAAGGCUUUGACGGGUAGCCGGCCUGAGAGGGUGGCCGGCAACAUUGGGACUGAGAUACGGCCCAGACUCCUACGGGAGGCAGCAGUGGGGAAUAUUGCACAAUGGGCGGAAGCCUGAUGCAGCAACGCCGCGUGCGGGAUGACGGCCUUCGGGUUGUAAACCGAUUUAGCAUGUGACGAAGCGUGAGUGACGGUAAUGGGUAAAGAAGCACCGGCUAACUACGUG
rnacentral:rRNA from 1 species